CCUACGGGUGGCAGCAGUGAGGAAUAUUGGUCAAUGGUCGGGAGACUGAACCAGCCAAGCCGCGUGAGGGAGGAAGGUACAGAGUAUCGUAAACCUCUUUUGUCAGGGAACAAAGGCGGGGAUGUGUCCCCGGAUGAGUGUACCUGAAGAAAAAGCAUCGGCUAACUCCGUGCCAGCAGCCGCGGUAAUACGGGGGAUGCGAGCGUUAUCCGGUUUUAUUGGGUUUAGGGGGUGCGCAGGUGGUCUGUUAAGUCAGCGGGCAAAGCCCGGGGCUCAACCCCGGCCCGCCGUUGAAACUGGCAGUCUCGAGUUGGAGAGAGGUAUGCGGAAUGCGCGGUGUAGCGGUGAAAUGCAUAGAUAUCGCGCAGAACUCCGAUUGCGAAGGCAGCAUACCGGCUCCACACUGACGCUGAGGCACGAAAGCGUGGGUAUCGAACAGGAUUAGAUACCCGGGUAGUC
rnacentral:rRNA from 1 species